rnacentral:rRNA from 1 species
UACGUAGGGGGCAAGCGUUGCUCGGAAUCACUGGGCGUAAAGCGCACGUAGGCGGCUUUCUAAGUCAGGGGUGAAAUCCUGGAGCUCAACUCCAGAACUGCCUUUGAUACUGGAGAGCUAGAGUCCGGAAGAGGUGAGUGGAACUGCGAGUGUAGAGGUGAAAUUCGUAGAUAUUCGCAAGAACACCAGUGGCGAAGGCGGCUCACUGGUCCGGUACUGACGCUGAGGUGCGAAAGCGUGGGGAGCAAACAGG